GAGCUGUGAACUCUACUACGUGAAACAAAUGUGGCGCAUCCGUUUAGUGGCGCAGUCAUGCAAUAAUUUAUUUGUUUUAAUUGAUAAUUUGAUAAUAUCUCUCGAGUGUCAAGUGUGCAAAAGCGUGUGAUUGUGGACUAUUUCAUUCAUAUCGAGGACAAGCUAAGCGUUUAGUUCUGGAUAUCAUUUUCAGCCGCAUAAUCAGGGGUGAGGUCGGAGCCGGCAGUCCGCCCGGCGGCUAUGUGGCGGUGACCGGGACGGCUGGGACCCGAGUGCGGCUGCGCCAUGCCGCCGCCGCCGCCGCCGCCGCCGCCGGUCCGCCGGUGGCAGCAGUUUCCCGGACGGAACCGGUUCUUUUGCGACGGACGCAUCAUGAUGGCACGCAAGAUGGGCAUCUUCUAUUUCACCGUCACAUUGAUUGUCGGCACCACGACACUCUUCUUUGUGUUCGACUGUCAGUUCCUGGCGGAGCGGAUCACGCCCGUGAUCCCGGUGGUGGGCGGUGUGCUGUUCGUCUUCGUCAUGUCGGCACUGCUGCGGACCAGCUUCAGCGAUCCGGGCGUCAUCCCGCGCGCCACCGCCGACGAGGCGGCCGACAUCGAGCGGCAAAUCGUGCCGAGUAACGCGAGCAACUCGCCGACGUACCGGCCGCCGCCGCGCACCAAGGAGGUCGUGGUGCGUGGCCAGCCGGUCAAGCUCAAGUACUGUUUCACGUGUAAAAUAUUCCGGCCGCCGCGCGCGUCGCACUGUAGUAUCUGUGACAACUGCGUCGAUCGGUUCGACCACCAUUGCCCGUGGGUGGGCAACUGUGUCGGGAAGAGGAACUACCGAUACUUUUACAUGUUCAUCGUCUCGCUAGCUUUUCUCUGCGUAUUCAUACUUGCUUGUGUGGUGACUCAUCUUAUCCUGUUGACCAAAGACGAUCGCCAAUUCCUGGAUGCUGUGAAAGAGUCACCGGCGAGUGUGAUCGAGGCCGUGAUAUGUUUCUUCUCGAUCUGGUCGAUUCUGGGCCUGUCUGGCUUUCACACGUACCUGGUCUCCUCGAACCAGACAACCAACGAAGACAUCAAAGGGUCAUUCACGGGGAAGCGAAGUGAAGAGGCCUUCAAUCCGUACGGACAGGGCAAUGUUAUCUCAAACUGCCUUGAUGUCCUUUGCGGACCAACUUACCCUAGUUUAAUAGACCGGCGCGGUCUGGUGCCGGUGGCCACUCCGGAGGCGGACCCGGCCCCGGAGCAGCGCAGGCCCGGUGCGGCGGCGGCGGCGGCCGACCCCCGCUCGGGCCGUUCCUAUGGCGCCGUGCACAGCGCCCAGACCAAACCGACCGUGCCGACCAGCCAGAGGUCAUCCUCUUCCAGUCCUACGGGGUCACGGCGUGUCAAGUGCACCCCUCCGUCCACGGCCACCUUCUCACGGCCCAAAUACCAUCCUCUCAAGUAGCUGCUACCUUCUCCCGGCCCAAAUACCACCCUCUCAAGUAGCUCCUACGUUCUCACGGCCCAAAUACCAUCCCCUGAAGUAGCUGCUACCUUAUCCGGGCCCAAAUACCAUCCCCUGAAGAAGCUGCUACCUUCUCCUGGCCGUAAUAUCAGCCUCUGAAGAAGCUAUUUCCUUCUGACUUGCCCAAGUACGACUACCGCCGCCUCUUUUUGUUCGAAAUAUAAUCAUCUGAAGAAGCAGUCCCGUUUUUCUCGGUCUACAGUGCGUCAACCCAUGAACAAACCACAGCCGUUUUCAGACCUGAUAAUACUCCCACAGUACCCGUUCCCUUUUCCUUCCGAGCUACCGCGACCGACUGAGCUGUCAGUCUCCAAUCCCAAAUACGACAUAUCCAGUUACAAACACCUCUGUAAAGUGUACCUUUCUCACAGUUUCCUGAACGGAUGUUGAUGAGUGCACAGCUGGUAUUCUCCCAAAUCUGGUGUUGGGCCCGUCACUAGUAGUUAGUAGUAAGCGUCCACCCCUUGCCGUGUGUGUGGCGCCGUCGAGCCGAGCCGAGCCGGGCUGACGAGCGCGCGCUGGUCAGGUGGUGCCUCUUCCCGCCAUACCGAGCGUGCCCGCGCCCAGCGGUGACUUCUAGCGACGGGCGCCGGCGGCCGGCGCGUCUCAGAACGGGCACGCGUCAGUCAGCGGCCGGUCGGCGGCCGCCUCGGGUCAGCCGGGCCACCGUCGAGCCGCCGCCGCUGCCGUCGCCAUCGAGCGGCCACAACGCGGCGGCGGCGGCGGCGCGGCGAUGGACACGGCCGACCUGGACCUGGACAGUCUGGACGGCUCAGAAACACUGAGCCACGAGAGCCGUGGCCAGACCACGGACAGUGAGGCGCGCUCCAACGUGGCGCUUAUCCGACUGGCCCACAGCGCCGUCUGACCGACCGACCGGCGCCCGGCGGUGGACGGACGGACGGUUUUCUAAUGUGUUGUGAUGUGAUGUGACGAAAGAGACGGGCCGGUGAAUCGUCCCGUAACCAAUCGACGUGCUGAUAUUGCUGAACGACGCCGGCGAUACAUAUACUAUUUUAUAAUCGACAAUUAAUACAUGGUAAUGUGCCGCAGUGUGAAA
rnacentral:misc_RNA from 1 species